GAGUUUGAUCAUGGCUCAGGAUGAACGCUAGCUACAGGCUUAACACAUGCAAGUCGAGGGGCAGCAUGGUCUUAGCUUGCUAAGGCCGAUGGCGACCGGCGCACGGGUGAGUAACACGUAUCCAACCUGCCGUCUACUCUUGGACAGCCUUCUGAAAGGAAGAUUAAUACAAGAUGGCAUCAUGAGUCCGCAUGUUCACAUGAUUAAAGGUAUUCCGGUAGACGAUGGGGAUGCGUUCCAUUAGAUAGUAGGCGGGGUAACGGCCCACCUAGUCUUCGAUGGAUAGGGGUUCUGAGAGGAAGGUCCCCCACAUUGGAACUGAGACACGGUCCAAACUCCUACGGGAGGCAGCAGUGAGGAAUAUUGGUCAAUGGGCGAGAGCCUGAACCAGCCAAGUAGCGUGAAGGAUGACUGCCCUAUGGGUUGUAAACUUCUUUUAUAAAGGAAUAAAGUCGGGUAUGCAUACCCGUUUGCAUGUACUUUAUGAAUAAGGAUCGGCUAACUCCGUGCCAGCAGCCGCGGUAAUACGGAGGAUCCGAGCGUUAUCCGGAUUUAUUGGGUUUAAAGGGAGCGUAGAUGGAUGUUUAAGUCAGUUGUGAAAGUUUGCGGCUCAACCGUAAAAUUGCAGUUGAUACUGGAUAUCUUGAGUGCAGUUGAGGCAGGCGGAAUUCGUGGUGUAGCGGUGAAAUGCUUAGAUAUCACGAAGAACUCCGAUUGCGAAGGCAGCCUGCUAAGCUGCAACUGACAUUGAGGCUCGAAAGUGUGGGUAUCAAACAGGAUUAGAUACCCUGGUAGUCCACACGGUAAACGAUGAAUACUCGCUGUUUGCGAUAUACUGCAAGCGGCCAAGCGAAAGCGUUAAGUAUUCCACCUGGGGAGUACGCCGGCAACGGUGAAACUCAAAGGAAUUGACGG
rnacentral:rRNA from 1 species